GGCUCUGUAGUGAAGUUCAUAGUGAGUUGCAAGCUCACUGAUGUGCAUUGACCAUGCGCCGGGGCCU
rnacentral:tRNA from 1 species